UGGGGGUCAAUGUAAUCGACUUAAUCCCUUCACCCAAAUUUGAGGCCCUGUGCUUCCAGUAGAAAGAAUUAUCAUUAUUAUUAUUAUUAUUAUUAUUAUUAUUAUUAUUGUUGUUGUUGUUGUUGUUGUUGUUGUUGUUGUUAAGAUGUCGAGCAGACAGAAUCGUUAGCACGCCGGGUAAAAUGCCUCGCGGCAUUUCGUCAGUCUUUACGUUCUGAUUUCAAAUUCCGCUGAGGUCGACUUUACCUUUCAUCCUUUCGGAGUCGACAAAUUAAGUACCAGUUGAGUACUGUGGUCGAUAUAACCAAUUGUCCUCCUCCCCCAAAUUUCAGGCCUUGCGCCUAUAAUAGAAACGAUUAUUAUUAUUAUUAUUAUUAUUUUUUUAUUAUUAUUAUUAUUAUUAUUAUUAUUAUUAUUAUUAUUAUUAUUUUUAUUAUUUUUAUUAUUAUUAUUUUUAUUAUUAUUAUUAUUUUUAUUAUUAUUAUUAUUAUUAUUAUUAUUAUUAAAAAGGCGGUGAGCUGGCAGAAUCGUUAGUACGCUGGGCGAAAUGCUUAGCGGUAUUUCGUCUGCCGCUACGUUCUGAGUUCAAAUACCACCGAAGUCAACGUUGCCUUUCAUCCUUUCGGAAUCGAUUAAAUAAGUACCAGUUACGGACUGGCGUAAUCGACUUAAUCCCUUCACCGAAAUUUGAGGCCUUGCGCUUCCAAUAGAAAGGACUAUUAUUAAAACAGCGUGCUGGCAGAAUCGUUAACACGCUGAGCAAAAUGCUUAGCGGUAUUCCGUCUGCGCUACGUUCUGAGUUCAAAUUCCACCGAGGUCGACUUUGCCUUUCAUUCUUUUGAGGUCGAUAAAAUAAGCACCAGUUAAACUCUGGGUUAAUGUAAAUGUAAAAUCAGUACCAGUUACGCAUUGGAGUCGAUGUGAUCGACUUAAUUCCUUCCCGCAAAAUUUGCGGCCUUGUGCUUCCAGUCGAUAGGAUUAUUAUUAUUAUUAUUAUUAUUAUUAUUAUUGAGUGAGAGAGUAGUGCAUGCCAUCAAAGUGACACUGGGGUAAAAUAUACGAAGCCCAUUAUACCCAUCAUGACUACCCGUCUGAUAAGGGUACACCAAUCACAUGCAUCACAACCAUAUGUGCGCGACACGGUGAUCUCACAUCAAGAUAAACAUCGCAUGACCCCCGCCGGUGGGGUUCAGUUACAAUUUUCUUCAGGUCGAGUAGCCCAUCCCGCUCAAAAGUUCCCAGAAUAAGGUUUGUUUAAGGAUGUUGAGCAAAACACCCAUGUUUCCAAACGUGAAUUAUUCAAACCUCAAAGAAUUCCUCUCAACACAUGGCUAUGAUGCCCCCCCACUACUUCUGCUCCUGAUCAGAGAUGCACAUAUCGUCAGCCACCAGGGAACAUGCUCAACUGGUUAAGGUCAAACAAGUGACAAGCAAAUCUGUGGUAUUAAGCAGAAUAUUUGCUGUAGCCCAUCUUUUAUACCAAGUCAAAACAAUGAACAUGAUAACACUGCCAAUCAAUUAAGAUCAGAAGCCAUGAGAGCCAUUGCUUGGUACAGCAUCCGGGCAUUUAUUAUUAUUAUUAUUAUUAUUAUUAUUAUUAUUAUUAUUAUUAUUUUCUUUUUAUGUAAGUGCUCAAAGUUCAGGUAAGCUGCUGGCGAGUCGUAUCCACGACCCGGUUUCAAAUGCUACUUAACUGCAUUUCCACUGCUAAUGGCCAUGGGUGAAAGACACAACCAGAACCAUUUACCAUUACCACCUUUAUUAAAUCUUGGUUUGUGCCUUGUCCGAUAAAACCUAUUCCUUCCACUAUAUUUUCAUUUAUCCUUGCUCUUUGUUUCUUUUCUUAGUUUCUUUCUUUCAACGUUUACUUCUAGCAGUGUGUGGGGAGAUGGGGGUGGGUGGCGAAUAUCACAACUCUGUCACUGUAAAAACAGAGCCUAUCAAUCACAAACUUUGUUACAAGAUAAUUUUCAGUAAAAGAAAUAAAUUUUUUCUAAAACGUGACAUAACCUUGUAGAGAAAUAAAUUCAAUCCAUGAUAAACAAAACUGUAAUAUAACAUUUUAACAAUUGUUUGUUUAUUCAUUACCUGCUGGACGAUAAAUAUUAUCACCAUCAUCAUCAACAUCAUCCAUCCAUCUUCAUCAUCAUCAUCAUCAUCAUCAUCAUCAUCAUCAUCAUCGCAAUCAUCAUCGUUUUGGCGUUUACUUUUCCAUACUUGCAGGUCGGGGUCGGACACAAUUUGUUGAGGUAGAUUUUCUACAGUCGAACGUCCUUGUCACCAACCCUCACUCGUUUUCAACUAUCACACCAUAUUAAGUGACACCUUAUAGCAGACGACUGUUAUAUGUUCAAUGUCCGGAGUUUUAUCCACGCAUGCUCAGGGAUUAGUUCCGGAAGGAAUACAGGAAGAGUCUCAUGCGCAUGCAUAGAGUUCGACACCCAGCUUUGGCGCCUUUUCUCACUCUCUUCGUUGACUGAUCUCCGUCGAGUCAAGACGUCCAACAGAGCUCCCUCACAUGUCAGCACCAGAGCUUCACAAAUAACCACGGAAAUCAUUCAGAAGGCGUCUCAGUAACCUAGGGCGACGAGCUACCGAAUUCCCUCCAAGCGUGAACUGAAUUCCACUGGAAAUAAAUAUUGUUAUGUUGUUCAGAAUCUGCGUUCCGUUGUUUCUA